AGAAUGAACGCUGGCGGCAUGCCUAACACAUGCAAGUCGAACGAAGCCUUCGGGUUUAGUGGCGCACGGGUGUGUAACGCGUGGGAAUCUACCCCUUGGUUCGGAAUAACAGUUGGAAACGACUGCUAAUACCGGAUGAUGACGUAAGUCCAAAGAUUUAUCGCCGAGGGAUGAGCCCGCGUAGGAUUAGGUAGUUGGUGUGGUAAAGGCGCACCAAGCCGACGAUCCUUAGCUGGUCUGAGAGGAUGAUCAGCCACACUGGGACUGAGACACGGCCCAGACUCCUACGGGAGGCAGCAGUGGGGAAUAUUGGACAAUGGGCGAAAGCCUGAUCCAGCAAUGCCGCGUGAGUGAUGAAGGCCUUAGGGUUGUAAAGCUCUUUACCCGGGAUGAUAAUGACAGUACCGGGAGAAUAAGCUCCGGCUAACUCCGCGCCAGCAGCCGC
rnacentral:rRNA from 1 species